UACAGAGGUCUCAAGCGUUGUUCGGAUUCAUUGGGCGUAAAGGGUGCGUAGGCGGCGCGGUAAGUCGGAUGUGAAAUCUCGGAGCUUAACUCCGAAACUGCACUUGAUACUGCGAUGCUUGAGUACUGGAGAGGAGAUUGGAAUUUACGGUGUAGCAGUGAAAUGCGUAGAUAUCGUAAGGAAGACCAGUGGCGAAGGCGAAUCUCUGGACAGUUACUGACACUGAGGCUCGAAGGCCAGGGGAGCAAACGGG
rnacentral:rRNA from 1 species